AGAGUUUGAUCCUGGCUCAGGACGAACGCNGGCGGCGUGCCUAACACAUGCAAGUCGAACGGAGUUAUCAAUUAAGCUUGCUUUUUNGAUAACUUAGUGGCGCACGGGUGAGUAACACGUGGGCAACCUGCCCGGAAGUCUGGGAUAACAGCGCGAAAGCGCUGCUAAUACCGGAUACCUUCACGAGAACACAUGUUUUUGUGAAGAAAGUUUUUCGCUUCCGGAUGGGCCCGCGUCCCAUUAGCUAGUUGGUGAGGUAACGGCUCACCAAGGCAACGAUGGGUAGCUGGUCUGAGAGGACGAUCAGCCACACUGGAACUGAGACACGGUCCAGACUCCUACGGGAGGCAGCAGUGGGGAAUCUUGCGCAAUGGGCGAAAGCCUGACGCAGCAACGCCGCGUGAACGAUGAAGGCCUUCGGGUCGUAAAGUUCUGUCAGAGGGGACGAUAAUGACGGUACCCUCGGAGGAAGCCCCGGCUAACUACGUGCCAGCAGCCGCGGUAAUUC
rnacentral:rRNA from 1 species